GACGAACGCUGGCGGCGUGCUUAACACAUGCAAGUCGAACGGAAAGGCCCUGCUUUUGUGGGGUGCUCGAGUGGCGAACGGGUGAGUAACACGUGAGUAACCUGCCCUUGACUUUGGGAUAACUUCAGGAAACUGGGGCUAAUACCGGAUAGAAGCUCCUGCUGCAUGGUGGGGGUUGGAAAGUUUCGGCGGUUGGGGAUGGACUCGCGGCUUAUCAGCUUGUUGGUGGGGUAGUGGCUUACCAAGGCUUUGACGGGUAGCCGGCCUGAGAGGGUGACCGGCCACAUUGGGACUGAGAUACGGCCCAGACUCCUACGGGAGGCAGCAGUGGGGAAUAUUGCACAAUGGGCGGAAGCCUGAUGCAGCAACGCCGCGUGCGGGAUGACGGCCUUCGGGUUGUAAACCGCUUUCGCCUGUGACGAAGCGUGAGUGGCGGUAAUGGGUAAAGAAGCACCGGCUAACUACGUG
rnacentral:rRNA from 1 species